rnacentral:rRNA from 1 species
AUUGAACGCUGGCGGCAGGCUUAACACAUGCAAGUCGAGCGGAGAUGAGGUGCUUGCACCUUAUCUUAGCGGCGGACGGGUGAGUAAUGCUUAGGAAUCUGCCUAUUAGUGGGGGACAACAUUCCGAAAGGAAUGCUAAUACCGCAUACGCCCUACGGGGGAAAGCAGGGGAUCUUCGGACCUUGCGCUAAUAGAUGAGCCUAAGUCGGAUUAGCUAGUUGGUGGGGUAAAGGCCUACCAAGGCGACGAUCGGUAGCGGGUCUGAGAGGAUGAGCCGUCACACUGGGACUGGGACACGGCCCAGACUCCUACGGGAGGAAGCAGUGGGGAAUAUUGGACAAUGGGCGGAAGCCUGAUCCAGCCAUGCCGCGUGUGUGAAGAAGGCCUUUUGGUUGUAAAGCACUUUAAGCGAGGAGGAGGCUACCUGGAUUAAUACUCUAGGAUAGUGGACGUUACUCGCAGAAUAAGCACCGGCUAACUCUGUGCCAGCCGCCGCCGUAACAC